GAAAAACAGCAAUGACCAAACUACCUAAAAUCUUACUCAAUGAAUACUGCCUUCUAAGUUAAAUAAGUAAAUAAUCAAAAUUUCGUCUUUGCUCUUUCACGCAAACUUCUCCGUUUUUCUGCAUAUUCUGCCACACCUAUACUAUAAUAUAAACUCAAAUGAAAAAAAAUUCCUACAAAUCUCUGAAAAUUUGAUUUUUUAUUUUAUUUUCGGUGAUAUUAACAAUCGAUUUGCUGUUUGCAUAAUCCAUUUCUAAGAAUUUGAAAUCGUUGAAAAAAAAAAAAAGAAAAAGGAAAUUCUAUGUUGAAAAAAUGAUGCUUUCACGUAUUGGCCGUUCUAUAUCUAAAGCUUCUCGCUCCAAUAUUCACAAAGGUGGUGGAUAUGGCGUGAGGUCGGCGGUGGAUGAGGUGUCCACGAGCGGCGACGGGGCGUGCGUUACACGCGUUAAUGGUGGCGGGUUAGGGUUUGUGAGGAGCUAUUUGACAUCAUCGAUUAUUGGAGGUGGAAAGCAGGGUUUGAGUAACGCGCAGCGCGUGCAGUACACGCUCGAGGUUUUCCUGCGAAGGGCCAAAGAGCCAGAAGUAAAAAAUGAGAAUAGAAAUUGAGCUAUUUUUUUUUUGAAAACUAUGAGAACUAUUAUCCAAAGAACAAGAAAGAAAUUCCCAAAGCAAAUAAUCAGAAGGCUGAAAGUGGCAAAGAGGAAGGUGCAGGUGAGCAAGGAAAUCCUCAAGAGAACUUCAUGAAGCUAAACACAAUUUGCUAACACCCUUGUUAUUUAUUGGGUUUAUUCUGUCAUCUAUCCUUUUAUCUCCUCGAGAGCAGCAGGA